rnacentral:rRNA from 1 species
AUAUAUGUUAAGUGGAAAAGGAUGUGGCGUUGCCCAGACAACUAGGAUGUUGGCUUAGAAGCAGCCAUCAUUUAAAGAGUGCGUAAUAGCUCACUAGUCGAGUGACACUGCGCCGAAAAUGUACCGGGGCUAAACAUAUUACCGAAGCUGUGGAUUGUCCUUUGGACAAUGGUAGGAGAGCGUUCUAAGGGCGUUGAAGCAUGAUCGUAAGGACAUGUGGAGCGCUUAGAAGUGAGAAUGCCGGUGUGAGUAGCGAAAGACGGGUGAGAAUCCCGUCCACCGAUUGACUAAGGUUUCCAGAGGAAGGCUCGUCCGCUCUGGGUUAGUCGGGUCCUAAGCUGAGGCCGACAGGCGUAGGCGAUGGAUAACAGGUUGAUAUUCCUGUACCACCUAUAAUCGUUUUAAUCGAUGGGGGGACGCAGUAGGAUAGGCGAAGCGUGCGAUUGGAUUGCACGUCUAAGCAGUAAGGCUGAGUAUUAGGCAAAUCCGGUACUCGUUAAGGCUGAGCUGUGAUGGGGAGAAGACAUUGUGUCUUCGAGUCGUUGAUUUCACACUGCCGAGAAAAGCCUCUAGAUAGAAAAUAGGUGCCCGUACCGCAAACCGACACAGGUAGUCAAGAUGAGAAUUCUAAGGUGAGCGAGCGAACUCUCGUUAAGGAACUCGGCAAAAUGACCCCGUAACUUCGGGAGAAGGGGUGCUCUUUAGGGUUAACGCCCAGAAGAGCCGCAGUGAAUAGGCCCAAGCGACUGUUUAUCAAAAACACAGGUCUCUGCUAAACCGUAAGGUGAUGUAUAGGGGCUGACGCCUGCCCGGUGCUGGAAGGUUAAGAGGAGUGGUUAGCUUCUGCGAAGCUACGAAUCGAAGCCCCAGUAAACGGCGGCCGUAACUAUAACGGUCCUAAGGUAGCGAAAUUCCUUGUCGGGUAAGUUCCGACCCGCACGAAAGGCGUAACGAUUUGGGCACUGUCUCAACGAGAGACUCGGUGAAAUCAUAGUACCUGUGAAGAUGCAGGUUACCCGCGACAGGACGGAAAGACCCCGUGGAGCUUUACUGUAGCCUGAUAUUGAAAUUCGGCACAGCUUGUACAGGAUAGGUAGGAGCCUUUGAAACGUGAGCGCUAGCUUACGUGGAGGCGCUGGUGGGAUACUACCCUAGCUGUGUUGGCUUUCUAACCCGCACCACUUAUCGUGGUGGGAGACAGUGUCAGGCGGGCAGUUUGACUGGGGCGGUCGCCUCCUAAAAGGUAACGGAGGCGCUCAAAGGUUCCCUCAGAAUGGUUGGAAAUCAUUCAUAGAGUGUAAAGGCAUAAGGGAGCUUGACUGCGAGACCUACAAGUCGAGCAGGGUCGAAAGACGGACUUAGUGAUCCGGUG